rnacentral:miRNA from 1 species
UGCGAACAGGAUGUGAGCAGUGA